rnacentral:lncRNA from 1 species
AAAUUUUCCCAAAUUCCCUCACUUCUUCAAUGCUCUUCGCGAACGUGAACUCGAUCUUCUGGUUUUCAUCCUUAAAUCCUCUUUCACUGCAAUAAGAUUCCAGAGAUAGAGAAUUUGGGCGCUACUGAGGGGCGGAUUGCUUUGCUUCAAGGUGAAGUAUCCACAAUCGGAUCUGAUUUGGAGGCACUUAAGGUUUUGGCUUCUGGAUUCUCUGUUGCUUUUUGAAUAGCUAUGCAGGUCACCUAAAUAUCACAAACAUACAUCUCCAAAAUGAGGUCGUGAAGCAGGUGUUAUGCCAAUCUGGUCAGGUGGACUCUUCUUUCGUGACUCGUCUUCCUCGUUGUCAGGUGUAUUUUUCACACUACAAACAUCAUAAUUCAGUUUGUGAUAUUUUAUAAUUUCAAAAGAUUGUGGUUUCUCAAUUUCAUGUCUGCCUUUGUCAAUAUGUUUAUUUUUUUAUUCAAUUUGCGAUAAAUUUUGUCAGCGAUUAUAUGUUUUAGGGCUGUCACAUCUGCUAGUAUGAAAGGGGUUGAAACGGGCCGGCCCGAAACAAAUUUUGACCAAAUUUCUAUAAUUUUUUUAUUUAAUUAUAUGUUAGUUUGUACAUCAUUACUAGUUGGGCAUUACUUCUCUAUAAGUUAAUCCCCCCCCACCCACCCACCCUCCACCACACACUCUAUAAUAAGUGCUCUUUGUCCACUAUUAGGCUCGAGAGGACAUUAAGGUCAGUCUAUUUUCAAUUUGCUAUUUUUACUACAAACUUUCUUAUCAUACAAGAUAACGGAUUUACAUCAUAUGAAACUUUUGUUAUGUGCUAUAUUCCAGACCAUGGUUGAAUUGAUGGGGGCACAAGUUUCGAAACCGCUGAUUGCAACCAAGGUUACUCAUCUUAUAUGCUACAAAUUUGAAGGGUAAACAUUCUCAUCAUGAACUCUCUUGUUUGGUGAUGGCAAUUCCGACAACGAAGAGCUUAAGUGAUGUCAAAAGAAGUUGAGUAUAGUCAGUUGGCUGAUGUAGCGACAAUAAGUAGUAAGUGCUGGGAACUAUGAAGUGGAAGUAUGACUACUAAGAAAACGUUAACACGAUGAUUAUUUAACUCGCAUGAAGAUUGUGAAAGAGAUUCAUGAACACAAUGAAGUUUUGAGUUUUUAUUCAUACACUUGUUAGUUUAUUUGGGUUAUAUGUUUGAUCAUUAGAUUUAGAUUGACCCUUAUUAGAUAUUUGGAAUCUUUGUAAGAUUGAUUGAACUUUUAAUUGAAGUGAUUAUU